CGCGCAGGCGGUCCUUUAAGUCUGAUGUGAAAGCCCACGGCUCAACCGUGGAGGGUCAUUGGAAACUGGGGGACUUGAGUGCAGAAGAGGAAAGCGGAAUUCCACGUGUAGCGGUGAAAUGCGUAGGGAUGUGGAGGAACACCAGUGGCGAAGGCGGCUUUCUGGUCUGUAACUGACGCUGAGGCGCGAAAGCGUGGGGAGCAAACA
rnacentral:rRNA from 1 species